rnacentral:rRNA from 1 species
UGCUAAUACCGCAUAAUGCAGCGGCAUCUAUGAUGACAGUUGUUAAAGCGGGGGAUCGUAAGACCUCGCGCCUGAAGAGAAGUCCGCGGCAGAUUAGCUAGUUGGUAGGGUAAUGGCCUACCAAGGCAACGAUCUGUAGCCGGCCUGAGAGGGCGGUCGGCCACACUGACACUGACAUACGGGUCAGACUCCUACGGGAGGCAGCAGUCGGGAAUUUUGGGCAAUGGGCGAAAGCCUGACCCAGCAACGCCGCGUGAAGGAUGAAGUUUUUCGGAAUGUAAACUUCACAAGAAUGGGAAGAAUAAGUCUUGGCUAACAUCCAAGGCGAUGACGGUACCAUUUGUAAGCUCCGGCUAACUCCGUGCCAGCAGCCGCGGUAAUACGGGGGGAGCAAGCGUUGUUCGGAUUUACUGGGCGUAAAGGGCGCGUAGGCGGCGCCGCAAGUCACUUGUGAAAUCUCCGGGCUCAACUCGGAACGGCCAAGUGAUACUGCGGUGCUAGAGUGCGGAAGGGGCAACUGGAAUUCUUGGUGUAGCGGUGAAAUGCGUAGAUAUCAAGAGGAACACCUGCGGCGAAGGCGGGUUGCUGGGCCGACACUGACGCUGAGGCGCGAAAGCUAGGGGAGCGACG